GAUGAACGCUGGCGGCGUGCCUAAUACAUGCAAGUCGAGCGAACGGACGAGAAGCUUGCUUCUCUGAUGUUAGCGGCGGACGGGUGAGUAACACGUGGAUAACCUACCUAUAAGACUGGGAUAACUUCGGGAAACCGGAGCUAAUACCGGAUAAUAUUUUGAACCGCAUGGUUCAAAAGUAAAAGACGGUCUUGCUGUCACUUAUAGAUGGAUCCGCGCUGCAUUAGCUAGUUGGUAAGGUAACGGCUUACCAAGGCAACGAUGCAUAGCCGACCUGAGAGGGUGAUCGGCCACACUGGAACUGAGACACGGUCCAGACUCCUACGGGAGGCAGCAGUAGGGAAUCUUCCGCAAUGGGCGAAAGCCUGACGGAGCAACGCCGCGUGAGUGAUGAAGGUCUUCGGAUCGUAAAACUCUGUUAUUAGGGAAGAACAUAUGUGUAAGUAACUGAGCACAUCUUGGCGGUACCUAAUCAGAAAGCCACGGCUAACUACGUG
rnacentral:rRNA from 1 species